ACUGAAACAUCUAAGUACCCCGAGGAAAAGAAAUCAACCGAGAUUCUGUGAGUAGCGGCGAGCGAAAGUGGAAGAGCCAGUUAGUUUUAGCAUUUGUAUUAAGAGAAUGAGUUGGGAAACUCAAUCAUAGAGGGUGAUAAUCCCGUAUCUGAAAAUGCAAUUGUGGAACUAAGCUAACGAUAAGUAGGGCGGGACACGUGAUAUCCUGUUUGAAGAUGGGGGGACCAUCCUCCAAGGCUAAAUACUCCUGAUUGACCGAUAGUGAACAAGUACUGUGAAGGAAAGGUAAAAAGAACCCCUGCGAGGGGAGUGAAAUAGAACCUGAAACCGUGUACGUACAAGCAGUAGGAGCAACUUCGAGUUGUGACUGCGUACCUUUUGUAUAAUGGGUCAGCGACUUAUAUUUUGUAGCAAGGUUAACCGAAUAGGGGAGCCGUAGGGAAACCGAGUCUUAACUGGGCGUUUAGUUGCAAGGUAUAGACCCGAAACCCGGUGAUCUAGCCAUGGGCAGGUUGAAGGUUGGGUAACACUAACUGGAGGACCGAACCGACUAAUGUUGAAAAAUUAGCGGAUGACUUGUGGCUGGGGGUG
rnacentral:rRNA from 1 species